rnacentral:lncRNA from 1 species
CACAGUGGCUUCAACCUCAAGCUGUGAUCUGUAUCCUGGUGAUGGUGAUGGAGCUAAGAUUCGUGUGAUCUCAGUGGAAAAUGAGGAUAUUACUUGACCCUUCCUACUCACAGGGUGUCAGAGGCGGAGGAGCAGUGGUGCAGGGCUGGAGUGCAGUGGGAAUUGGGGGUUCUGCCCCCUCUUCCCUGUGGAGUUGGUACCCGUGCUCUUUAACCCUUUGGCUCCCCAGCUCUGUCUGAUGGCACAUCUGUUCUCCCCUUUCUUAUCCCAGGAAAGCAGUAAAAGAGAAAGGAGUUGAAGAGAGUUCCUGGUUUCCUUCUAAAUGAACUAAAAUCCAUGAAAGUUCCCCCUAUACAAGGUCAGAGCAUCUUUCUUGUCCCCAUCAUGAGAACAAGCCUGUUUAAGGGGCUUCUUCCUUAAACAGCGCCUGUUCCUUGAGUGGAACACAGGCUCAGCAGUCAUAAAAGCCUAGAUUUGAAUCUUGGCUCAGUCAUUUGGUAUAGAUGUGUGAAACCUUAAGGCAGUUGCUUACCAUUUUUGAGCCUCAGUUUUCUUGCCUAUAAAAUGGAGGUGGUCAUAGACUUAUGCUAAAUAUUCACUGUGGGACUCUCUCUAUAGACAGGCCUUUGCCAGGCACUUUGUGAGGGCUCAAAAAUAGCCAUUAAGUUUCUGGUGUUAGUUGGUGUUUGAAGCCCGUUUUCCUUUCUAGAAAUAAACCUGACCUGCCCUGGAUAGAAAUGUUGGGGAUAAGGGUAGAAGAAAGGGGAGCAUUCCAUGUGGUUUGUCCCUUCUGCUCCUCCUGCCAGCUUCCUUCCCCACCCCAACCCUGACCUCCUGUUUGAUGGGAGCCUGACUCUCCCACCUCCCAGAGGCACGUUCUGCUUUCAUGGAGCAGAAGUAUCCUAACAGGCUUUCAGCAUCCAUCCCUCCCCACCUCUAGGCCCCUCUCUCAUUUUAAAAGCCCUCCCAGGACUUCAAGAUGAAACACUUCCACCCUGGGCAAAUCGUUUUCAUUGAAUUCUCCAGUUCGCUGUCUCCAGUGUCGAAAAGACAUUUUAAUUAAUUACAGUCCCCGUGGGCUCCGCGAUCAAUAGCAGUAAAGAGCCGUAGGAUGAAUUCGUAGCCUCUGCUCUGUUUCCGGCUCUCUCUGUGACCUUGUACCAGUCAGUCCCUCAAGCCCUCAGGCCUCGUUUUCUUCCUCCCUCAGUGGAAGAGUUCCUGUUGUGGCUCAGCAGAAUGAAUCUGACUAGUAUCCAUGAAGAUGUGGGUUUGAUCCCUCGCUCAGUGGGUUAAGGAUCCGGUGUUGCUGUGAGCUGUGGUGUAGGUCACAGCUGCGGCUCGGCUCUGGUGUUGCUGUGGCUGUGGUGUAGGCCAACAGCUGCAGCUCCAAUUCGACCCCUAGCC